rnacentral:rRNA from 1 species
GAUGAACGCUGGCGGCGUGCCUAAUACAUGCAAGUCGAGCGAACAGAUGAGGAGCUUGCUCCUCUGACGUUAGCGGCGGACGGGUGAGUAACACGUGGAUAACCUACCUAUAAGACUGGGAUAACUUCGGGAAACCGGAGCUAAUACCGGAUAAUAUAUUGAACCGCAUGGUUCAAUAGUGAAAGACGGUUUUGCUGUCACUUAUAGAUGGAUCCGCGCCGCAUUAGCUAGUUGGUAAGGUAACGGCUUACCAAGGCAACGAUGCGUAGCCGACCUGAGAGGGUGAUCGGCCACACUGGAACUGAGACACGGUCCAGACUCCUACGGGAGGCAGCAGUAGGGAAUCUUCCGCAAUGGGCGAAAGCCUGACGGAGCAACGCCGCGUGAGUGAUGAAGGUCGUCGGAUUGUAAAACUCUGUUAUUAGGGAAGAACAAAUGUGUAAGUAACUAUGCACGUCUUGACGGUACCUAAUCAGAAAGCCACGGCUAACUACG